AUUGAACGCUGGCGGCAGGCCUAACACAUGCAAGUCGAGCGGAUGAAGGGAGCUUGCUCCUGGAUUCAGCGGCGGACGGGUGAGUAAUGCCUAGGAAUCUGCCUGGUAGUGGGGGAUAACGUCCGGAAACGGGCGCUAAUACCGCAUACGUCCUGAGGGAGAAAGUGGGGGAUCUUCGGACCUCACGCUAUCAUAUGAGCCUAGGUCGGAGUAGCUAGUUGGUGGGGUAAAGGCCUACCAAGGCGACGAUUCGUAACUGGUCUGAGGGGAUGAUCAGUCACACUGGAACUGAGACACGGUCCAGACUCCUACGGGAGGCAGCAGUGGGGAAUAUUGGACAAUGGGCGAAAGCCUGAUCCAGCCAUGCCGCGUGUGUGAAGAAGGUCUUCGGAUUGUAAAGCACUUUAAGUUGGGAGGAAGGGCAGUAAGUUAAUACCUUGCUGUUUUGACGUUACCAACAGAAUAAGCACCGGCUAACUUCGUG
rnacentral:rRNA from 1 species